rnacentral:rRNA from 1 species
CCUACGGGAGGCAGCAGUGAGGAAUAUUGGUCAAUGGGCGCGAGCCUGAACCAGCCAAGUAGCGUGAAGGAUGAAUGCCCUACGGUUUGUAAACCUCUUUUAUAAAGGAAUAAAGUGAGGCACGUGUGCCGUUUUGUAUGUACUUUAUGAAUAAGGAUCGGCUAACUCCGUGCCAGCAGCCGCGGUAAUACGGAGGAUCCGAGCGUUAUCCGGAUUUAUUGGGUUUAAAGGGUGCGUAGAUGGGUUGUUAAGUCAGUGGUGAAAGUCUGCGGCUCAACCGUAAAAUUGCAAUUGAUACUGGCAGUCUUGAGUACAGUUGAGGCAGGCGGAAUUCGUGGUGUAGCGGUGAAAUGCUUAGAUAUCACGAAGAACCCCGAUUGCGAAGGCAGCUUACUAAGCUGUCACUGACAUUGAUGCUCGAAAGUGUGGGGAUCAAACAGGAUUAGAUACCCGUGUAGUC